CCUACGGGUGGCAGCAGUGGGGGAUAUUGCACAAUGGGGGGAACCCUGAUGCAGCGACGCCGCGUGGGUGAAGGAGCGUUUCGGCACGUAAAGCUCUAUCAGCAGGGAAGAAGAUGACGGUACCUGACCAAGAAGCCCCGGCUAACUACGUGCCAGCAGCCGAGGUAAUACGUAGGGGGCAAGCGUUAUCCGGAGUUACUGGGUGUAAAGGGGGCGUGGACGGCAAUGCAAGCCAGGAGUGAAAGCCCGGGGCGCAACCACGGAACUGCUCUUGAAACUGCACGGCUGGAGUACAGGAGGGGCAGGCGGAAUUCCUGGUGUAGCGGUGAAAUGCGUAGAUAUCAGGAGGAACACCGGUGGCGAAGGCGGCCUGCUGGACUGCGACUGACGUUGAGGCCCGAAAGCGUGGGUAUCAAACAGGAUUAGAUACCCGGGUAGUC
rnacentral:rRNA from 1 species